GCUGUUCCCCCGGGUCCUGUCACUGGGCACUGCAGAGAAGAGGUCAGAGCCUGCCCUUCCUGUUUCCCAUCUUGAGGAAGCUGCAUUGUGGUGAAGCCUUCUCUCCUCUGCUCUUUUCUUCAUGAAGGUGAACACAAGACUAUUUUCAGAAAUAAGUGAAUUUUUCAUUAUUCUGAAGAAAAAGAUCCCAGCUUCCUCUGGAGAAAAGAGAAAAAUACUGACUGUUAAAUCAUCCUCAAAUUAUCAGAUAUCUGUGUUGUGCCAAUUGAGAUCACAAGAGAAUGACUGCAAUUGGACAAAGCUACAUCAUUUAAGAGAACUUUCAAGGCAUGCAAGACUUCCAUAGUAGAAAGAAUGUAAAUGCAUAGUUCUGCUUUUCUCAUCCAUUAACUCAAUAUCCCCAUUUUUAAGUCCUGCUCCCAAAAAAGUAGCCAUGAAGCUGGCAAAAUACCAAACACCUACCUGGAUGAACCUACACAAAAUCUCUGACACAUUGGAUAGCAUCAA